ensembl:lncRNA
AUCAGUUCUAUCUGUUCACUUUGAUGGAACCAGCUUUGGUGAAUACAGUUGUCUCUUCUCAGCCCACGCCUCAGCAUAAAGUUGCUGUCUGGAUUUAGAACUGUACUGCUGCAUCUUAACUGUGGCAUAAGUGGCUCUCCGUCCCAUCUUGUAUCCUCAUGCUUAGUGGCUACUGUUCAUCCACCAAUUUGAUAUGAAUUUUUAUUUUAUUAUUUUAAGAUGUAAGUAUUACCUAAAUUAUGUUUUAUACUAAUUUUUCAACUUUAAACUUUUUUUUUUAAUGCACCACUUCUUGAUAAUGGGCUUUCUGUACUCUUGCUCAGUACUUUUUUUUUUUUUUUUUUUUACUUUAUUUUGUUUAAUGUUUACAGUUAAAAUGCAGGACAUCAGGACUCUGGGAUUAUACAAAUGGCAGUGGAUUGCAUUUUCUGAGGCUGGGAAUGUGGUAUUAUUGCUCUACUAAAAAAGUAAGACGUUAAGUAUAGUAACUUUAUCUUCACUUCCUGGUUGGAGACUAUGUGAAUUAUUGUUUUUUUGUUUAGCCCCCCCCCCCCCCCCCCAAAUGAUGUAUUAUUUUGUUACAUUCUUAUUAUUAUUUUAUUAUUUUCUUUGUUACUGUACAGAACCAUGCAGGAACCCCUAGUGAAUGUGAUGCAUUACAUGCUUUUCACCACAGACCUGUAACAUGUAUUUACAGGAAACACAAUGUAUGAGAACACUAAUGAGCCUACCUUUUUUGAAAACCAGGAAGUUUUUUUCGCUUUGUGUUUUCUCCGGGGCAAUGAAAUUAUAAAUGUUCCUAUAUUAAACUUAGUUUGUGGUUUUAAUCAGAUUCUACGCCAUGCCAUAUUAUUACACUUUUCCGCCAGACAGAAGAAUACGGUUGCAGCAUUUUGACAGUUUUCACUGCAAUAAACUCUUUCUACUUUUACAGAUGUGUAAAGGAAAGGCACGUGAUCGUGAUUUGUAUGGUCGUGGGUUUGGGUUUGUUACUGUUCCAUGCUGUCCUUUGCUGUCUGGUGGAAGCAUGCCAUUAGAUAUGUGUGAAAACGUUGAAUUCGGGACUUUGCAUAAUACUGUUUUGUCUUGUUUUGUCCAGCCAGAAACG